UGUUCUCUCUCUCUCCUCACUUUUCUCUUCUCCUUCCCAGUCACUUCUCCCCAAAUCUUCUCAGAGUCAGCUUCCUACCCCCAUUCCCUCCCCAGAUCUUGUUUUUGGUGGUUGGAGAAAGUAACACAUCUGCACCCCCACUCUCUUCUUAAACACUAUUUACAACAUAAAUUCCAAACAUCCGCCAUCUGGUUCUAGGAAGGGCCAAAAGAUAUUUAGAAAAGGAAGUCAUGAUUAUUCCAUGUUCAAAGCCAAAGGAACUUAAAGGUUCUCCCCCUCUCCUGCCUUCCUCUGGGGCCUCUUUGUUAAGAUCUGACCCAUUAGGACCCCUCAGUGAGUAGAAGGGAUCAGUCCCAGCUGGACCUCUGACUGACUGCAUCGCUUUGGGCUCCUUGCUUCUCCUCUCUGUGCCUCAGUCUCCUCAUCUGAACAACGGGUGAGAGACCAGGGUGCCUCCAGCACUAAUGCUCUGAGACUUCAAGUCCUGCUGUAGAAAAUCCACCUGGUCCAGGUCUCUGAGGCCUGCUUUAGGCUGUGCUGUAGGGGUAGGACGGGGGCAAGGGGAGUGAGAGGCAGCUGGAGAGGCUCAGCCUCAAUCCUUGCUGCCCCGUGUCUGUGUGUCUGUCUGUGUGUCUGUCUGUCUUUCUGUCUGUCUCUCUCCCCCCCCCCAUGCAGAUCUAUGCAGACCAUUUACCUUCCUUCACACUGACUGUCAUACCAGGGGGGUGAGGUGGGGUCCAACCAUCCCCCGUUAUCUGACCCUGGGAGGACUCUGGACACCAUGGAGUCCCGUCCUCUCUCCACCAUCAUGGUGAGGCACCGAGUGGAGAAGACACUUGUCUGUAAUCACACAGCAUGUCUACAGGAGACCUGGUGCCUAACAUUCUGCUCUUCCCAUCCAACACAUUUCAAAAGAAACCAACAUUUGUGUUACCCAGAAGGCAUCGCGCAGUCCCAGUAAACUGGGACUCUGAAGGUCCCAGUUCUUUGCAAAGUGGACAGUACAGAGGAAAAACAAAUUCCUUUAUCGUGAUGUUUUUUGGUUUUCGGUUUUGUUUUUUUAACAAACAAACAGCAUGGGAGGGAGAAAUACUGUGGUAAAGAAGCAUAACAACAACGAAGAUGAGAAGUCCCUUUGCUCCUGGAGACAUGUGAUCCUUGCCAGGGCACACGUGGCCUCCACUUCUACUGAAAACACCUUCUCUGUUGACAAACGCCUUUCCAAACAGACUAGCACACACCUGACAAAAUGCCAUAAGAUACUGAUUCAGGUUGUCGCUCUAUAAAAACAGUGCCAGGGAGAGUCUGGUCUUACAGGGGAGCCGUGGAGAUACAUGGGGGGCUCCCUGGAGCCAGUUCUGAUCCUGACACUUCCUAGCUGUGAGACCUGGAGGGAGUAACCUCUGAGAGCCUGUUUCCUCAUCUGAAAAGUGAGGAUAAGAAUGGUACCUAACUCAUAUCUCAGUGUGAGGAUCAGAUGAGAAAACUGAUGUAAAAUAAAGCACUGAGAAAGUGUGGAGCACAUCGAAAGCACCCAAUGAGUUAGCUGUCACACCCGGUGUUACCUAGUAUUUAAUUACAGCAAGUCCCAAUGUAAGCCUGAUACAGGUGGUCACUGUUAUCAUUGUCACUGUUUUCCCAGUUUUCUGUUCUCACUGGAAGGACAGGGUGUGAUGGGGAGUCCUGGGGAUGCUGGUCUCUCCCCUCCCCACCCCCCACCAUCCUGGAGCCCCAGCUACUCCAGCAGGGCUUUGGAUUCUAGGUUGGGCAGGUCUGGCCUCUUUUCUUUCCCCCUGUGCCCUUUUUCCUGCAUCGCUCUUAUUUCCGUCUCAAACUAUGUUCCCAGGGCUUGCUCAAAAGUCCCCAGCAGCAAGCUUCCCUGGGGAGGAAGUGGGGAUCGUGUGAGGCUGGUGAACUCAGCUGGGGUGUUAAGGGGGUGGGAGGGCACUCUGGGAACAGAGGCCCAGAGAAGCCACACACAGGGGGGACAUGGAAAGGGCCCCGCUCGGUGGCCCCCACCCUGGCUUCUAUGUCUUCUCUGGGUGUUUCUUCGGGCCUCUGCCUCAUCCUUUCUGCUUCUCCUCCUCCUGCAUCUGGGCCUCACUGUGGGCCCAGCCCCGUACGUAUGGUGGAAAUGACAGCCAUUGAUUGUGGGCUGACUAUGUUCCAGCAACUGUGCUUGCACUUGACAUUUGACCUUUACACACAACUGGGAGGUCGGAAGCCAAGGUCCAGAGAGGUGAAGCCACCAGGGCUAGAUCACACAGCUCGAAAGUGCUAGGGUGAGAUUCCAAAGCAGGUCUGCCUGGCUCCGGGGCCUGUGUCUUCUCUGUUCUUUCCAAACGUGGUGGGAACCCUAGGGCCCUGGAGCCCAAGGAGGGCCCAGGCUGUCAUAGGUGAGCAUGUGUCAGGGAGCCGAGGAGGGAGCACAGUGGGCAAGGAAGCCCCCGUAGAAAGAGCCAGUGUGGGUGUGGAUGUGUGAGCCAGCGCGGAGCCCAAGCCUCCCUCCCACUGCAGUACCAUCUGGCUCACAGAUGUGGCCCGGUCCCAGACCCUUGCGUUUCUUGGAAAUGAGCAAGGCCAGGAGAGGGCAGAGGGGCUUUUGCAACGACCGUGAUGAUGUGAGCUUUGUUUAGUGGUCAUCCAUCCGGCCACUGCCCAAGUCCAGGAGACAGCUGGAUGGAGCAUGAGCGGCCCUGGGUUCCAGCUGGCUUUUGAUGCUCACCAGCGGAUGAGCCUGGGUACGUAGAAGAGCCUCUUUGAAGCUCAGUAAGUGGGGAAGUGACCCCUACCUCCAGCGGUGGCUGUGAAUGUGUCUGGAGUUAUGGAAGGGAACUUUUUGCGGCUGAAAACCUUGCGCAGCUGGAAGCAGUCGCAGGUGGCCCCAGGGCUGUCCCUUCCGUCUUGGCUACCAUGUAAGCCCCAGGUUUUGAACUAUCCCUACAUGGCUCUUUUCCAAUGAGUGAGGCUAGAAGUGGGGUCAGAGGAGCCUCUCGGAAAUUUCUUUCCAGACCUGUUCUUUUGCUGAUAGAGCUUGGGUUUGCUCAGAGUAGGGGAGCCCCUCUAUCACAUGGACCUUGGAGCUGCUCAAUAGGCCCCUUUUGAAAGCCAGGCAAGCGAAGCCUGAAUAAUGGCUGCCUAAGGGCCUGAGGAGCAGACCCUUUGAGACCUGGAAAAUCUCAGCAGGUUCAGCCUGAGGCUUCCGAGGAUCCAGCAGCACCCCAGGCCUAUCCUCAACCCUCGGAGCCUGGCAGCCCAGUCCGGACCUACAAAGGCCAGAGCUCCGGUCACAGGGCACCCCAGCAUCCUCUGAUAGGUGGUAGCUUUGUUCCUUUCAGGCAAGGGCACUGGCUGUUGGGAGCCAUCCCUACAGCCCUGACAUUGGAGGAGCAAGCACACCAGAGAGGGGCCUUCUGAGGACCAGGGGAGGGCAGGCAGCAGGGACCCUGGACACAACUGCGUGUCUGCCACCUCCUCGCAUCCAGCACCCACCCCGCCCCACUGAAAGCUCCUGCACUAACCUCAGUCCCACAGGACACACUCCCAAGCCCAACCCUGAGAAUGACGAAGAAACCAGACCUCAAAAUGGGAAGAGUUGAAGGAAGGCCCCUGCUGAUUGAAGAGGUGCAGGCAAUUCGGGGCUGCUGGAUCUCGGCGGUAGGUGAAAACAAGUGAGGCCAAAGGAGGGAAAACCAACCCGGGGCCAAGAAUCCACCCACCCCAUGUUCCCUACAAACUAGCAGUGCAAAGCCUGUGUGCUCCAGAGAAUACAGGACACAGAGGAACGAUAGAGAAUGAUGCUAAUCUUCCCUGGGAAGGAGUAAACAGGGUCAGACUCUAGAAACAGGUAGGUAUACCUGGGGUUGUGGGAGCCUGGUGAUAACAGAACCAGCUCGCAGGGUUUCCAGAGGGUCCAUGAGGUCAGGUGUGUGCCCAGGUGCAGAAUGGUUGGCACAUGGUAAAACUCAAGAAACUGUAGCAGUUGUUUUUACCAUCUCGUUCUUCCCACUCUUGCCAGUUUUUAGUUCCCUGCGUGUGGAGCAGGCAGGAUGACAUAAUGGCUCCAUAAGACAGGCGGACACACUGAGGCCCAGGGAGGUAAAGAAACUCAGAGUGGCGCGGUCAGUUGCAGAGAGGAGCUCUGGCCCCCGAGCUCAUGAGGAUGGAAAAAGUGGACGAAGACUUGGAGGCGAGCAGAGGAGGCAGCGCUCCAGCAAGGAGCUGACACUCCGGGAACAUGUGACGAAGCCCAGGCCUGGUUUACAUAACGCAGCACACCUGUUCACCUCUGCAUGCCCCACACGUGUGUGCAAACGUGCGGCCCAGCACAGCGCACACCCAACCCGCUCUCUCUAGACAGCGAGCCUCAGAGGCUGGGUCUAAACAAAUUGGAUUAGGAGGGCUGCAGGCGCCUUCUCCCUGUGACUGUCCCUCUCAGACACUGAGCAGGCCAGCAGAGCUGCCAGCUGUGGUGUCUCCGCCAUGCUGACAGUCCUCGCCCCCGCCCCCCUCGAGCCGCCCCCGGGCCCCAGGAAGAGGGCCAGGGUCUGAGAGGAUGCCACAAUGAUGGAUGGGCUGAGGAGGUUCCAGGGCUAGCUCAAGAGCACACAGGAUGUUAGCGCUUGUGCGAGGCUCGUUUCUGAGCUGUUCCCAGCAACCUACCCCCGCCUCCCCUCCCCUCAAAGCCUCUCCCACGGUCACUGCUGCCAGAGCCUAGAGCCCAGGCCCCAAGCAAAUCCAUCCUCCUCUCAGCCCCACAGCUGGGCUGAGUCAGGACUGGUCAGCUCAGGGGACAAUGGCCUGGAGAUGAGACACAGGCAGGCACUUGAGAGGGAAGAAGGAACUUGUGAACAGAAAGACAACGCCACCAUCAAGGUGGCAUUUCAGCGCUUUCUCCUCUAUUGUUGCGUUUAAUCCUCAAAAUGUGCCUGGGAGUUAGGAGAUUGUACCCAUAGCACAGAUGUGACUACUGAGAUUCAUUUAGUCAGUGACUCUACAACUCCCUUUCCUGAGCCCUGAGCCUGUUCGGGGUGCUAGGGAUACCGAGAUGAAUGCUUAGCGCCUUUGCCCCCGCUGCUCUGCCUCCUUUGGACUGGACCACUGGGCACUGGGGCUCCCCGUUCUUCCACGGGGAGCAGCUCCAACAGAACCCCUUUUCCAUACUACACACAUGAGUGGUUGGAUAUUAUCACCAAGAGAGACCUUAGCAAUUUUCCCAUUCAAAGCCCAGACCCUGAAUCCAGACAGCCCCAAUUUCAACUCCUGCUUUGCUCCCUUUCAUCAGGAUAGCUGUGGUCCAAUUAGCCUCUCCAAGCCUGCUUUUUCUUGUGUGAAAUAGGGGUACAAAAGCUCUCACCUCAGGGGGCUGACUGUGAAGCUUACUUAGGAUUUUCCACACCCUCUAUUUUCACAGGUAGAAACAGAGGCUAGAAGAAGGGGCUUGGCCACCGUCAUGCCCCCCCAGGAGCUUACGGACAGAACACAGAGUCUCCCCCAGGCUCAGUGACAUUUCCUGAAGAGAGUGGGGAACACGGAAGGGAAAGCAGCCCAUCCUCGGGGAGUUACCACCCAGACUGCUGACAGCCAGCACCAGCCUGACUGCCCUCCUCCAGGGCAAGGAUCACAUCAGGUUCAGUCUGUCUCCCCUCAGCUUGUCUGUAGAAGAUGUACCCAGUUUGCUGAAUGGACAGGUGAAAUGGUAAGAUCCUGUCUCAAACCCAAAGGAUUGGAUAAUUGGUCAGGGGGUGAGGCGCUGGGCAUCGAGUUUAAAAAUGAGGGCCCUGGGGCCAGCUGUUCCGAGUUAGGAGUCCCAGUUUAGCUCCCAGCUCCCUGCCCUUGGAAAAUUCCCUUCCCAGGGCACCUUGGGGAUGCAUGGGGAUUAGCACAAUUAAAACAUUUAGUACGUGACCGUUCUUAGUACGGUCAGCGCCACUGUGAUUGUUGUAGAUAGAAAGGACGAGAAGUAGGCAGCCUAUGGCCACAGAGGAGAUGGAGGCACAGCCCCUCCCCUGGUCAGAGGCCGCGCCUCAACCUGCUCUCCCUGCGUCAGAGCCUCUCCCCAGGAGCGUGGGACAGCUGCCAUCUACUUCCUGUGUCUACACCCAGGAGAGCUGCUAUCUUUGAGGCCAUAUUCUGAGCCCAGUGGGACAGUGGGCUGUGCUGGAAAUAGUCCUUGGCUCCCCCAGUUCAAGCUGGGUUGUGACCUGGAACCGUCCCCUCCCCAUCCCUGGCCCUCCAUAUAGGGGUGAUAACCACCCUGCCAGCCUUCACCAGCUGUUCUGACGAUGUGGCAGGACUGCAGUCCCUCAGCUACCCCCUUUUUUAUUUUUGCCAUAUCUGCAAACAAUUAUAAAAGCUUAAAAUGUAAGAUGAGCUGUUGUUAGUACCUAAAUGUACAUCGUUCCUAUAAGUGCAAAACUGUAACACUGUCCGUAAUUGGGAGAUGAGGGUGAGAAGACAGACAGUAAAAAUGUGUUUUUACCCUUUUCCCUGGUACUGUGGCUUGAGAGGCCCUGGGCCUGGGGCCUGAGGGAGCAAAGAAGGAUCUAGAAAAGUGUCAGAGACAAGAGAGCACCAAACUGAGGCUUUCUCCCCGCUGGUAAACAGGACUGAGAGCAAACCGGCAGACUUGAGAUACUCUGUCUUCCAAAGUUAGUUAGUGCCGAGGCCACAGAAUCCCCCAGAUCACUCGCUCCCUGCGCUGCUCGUGGCAAGUCAAAGAUGAGCAGGGUGACAGGGCUUCAGAAACAGCGACACACCAAGGAACGCAGGGGCUGGACUUAUCUGCCAGGGUCCAGAUAGCCGAUGAUCACUUUUGCAGAACAACCCUCCCUGGCUUCUUACUGAAACCGGCAUGUGGGCCAGGUGACCUUUUUCUCUUGCAGCGCUGGUGGGGGCCGUCUGAGACAGGAGUAGACAGGCUCUAGGCUGUCCAGCCCCCCCCCCCCAAGGCGGGGACUGAUGUUGCAAUCACUCCCUAUCCAAAUGCAGUUUAGAAAAAGUUCCUACAAGAUUUCCAUGUUAGAAGAAGGCAGUUCUUUGGUUGGAAAAGCCUCAGAAAAGGGCUGCCCCCUCAAUGGGCCGUGAGGACUAACCUUCCCCAAGUGACAGACCAGGGGACAAGGGCCUGAUUUCAGAUUUCUCCUGCAGGCAUAGGAGACACUUUAUUUUCAAGAAGGUAUGUGUUUUUCCUGCUCACUCCUAACCCUUCAAACAUCCCUGAAAGUACGUUUUAUCUGACAUCAAGGCCACCAUAGUGGGCAUCCAACAAAGCAGGAGGGUCCUCUGGGCGUGCCCUGAGGCCGUGAGGAGCAGGCGUGAAGGGGGACUCUGCCUGCUUACUCAGGCCUAAAGAGGAGAAUGAAUUAACUACAUGGCCGUUCAAUCAUCCACCAAAUGGCACGCAUGCGCCCUUCAUCGUGUAGAAAGGCCUCAGCAGGGCCCAGGGACACCUCCGAGUUAACAAGAUGUAGGUGCUGUCCCCAGGGAACUGGAGAUCCAGCCCAGUCAGAACAGAUGCAAAUAGCUCUGACACUAGAGAGAGUGAGAUUGAGGAAAGUGAUCCAGCCAUUCAAUCCAUGCUUCAGGGCGUCUACACUGCCUGGCGCUGCUUUCAGCGGGAGUACAGGUGAUAGGGUCCCUUCCCUUGUGGGUGGAUCAUGCAGUCCACAAGUGGAAGUGGCCUUAAACAAAAACUGCUGUGGUAAAGGAUUAGAAAGAGGGCACGGGAUGUUUAAGGAUAUGACCAGGGUGUCCUGAUGUCUGAGGAAGUCGGGGAAUGCCUUCCGGAAGAAGUGGCCAUUUGCGUGAAUACUAAGCACAUGAAGGGAAGCAGCAUGGCAGCUGGGAGCCUAAGGGCGUGGGUGCAAGGCUCCCUGGAGGAGUGGAAGGAUGGGGCAGUGGCCCAAGAGGAAGAGGUUGGCUGCAGCCAAAUGGAACUGGCACCAUAGCCUUCGGUGAGGGUUUCAGAGUCUAGCCGGAGGGCAAUGGAAGCCCUUUCUGGAUUUAAGGAGGAGAGAGAGGUGACCAUAUUUGCAUUUUAUGAAAUCACUCUGGGAGGAUGUCUGGGAGG